GCAGCAUGCAAUACCAGUCUGGGAGAGCCUGAAAACACCUGACUCCAAUGCCUGAGAACUGUUGUGUGGUUUAUGCCCAGUGAAGACAUGGGGGCAGAGCUCUCUGGAGCUUUGGGGACCCAACACUGACCCCUUUGUAUCCAGAAAUAGGACAUGGAGAAAAAAUUAUUCUCAUGCCUCAAGAUUUAAUGUUGUUUAUCUUGUCGGGUUUUGGACUUGGGACAUGUUACUCCUUUUUUCUUUUCUGUUUCUCCUUUUUAGAAUGGGAAUAUUUACCCCAUGCUUGUCCCACCACUGUAUUUUGAAAGCACAUAUUUUUGUUUUCUUCAGGCUCACAGCUGGAGGGCAAUUUGCCUCAGGAUGAAUCAUACCUUGAGUGUUACCCAUAUCUAAUUUAGAUUAUAUAUAGAUAAGACUUGGACUUAGACUUUAAAGUUAAUGUUGGAAAGAGUUUAGAUUUUUGGGGCUACUGAGAUGGGAUACAUGUAUUUUGCCUGUGAAAAAGACAUAAAUUUUGGGAAUGAGGGGGCAGAAUUCUAUGAUCUGAAUCUCCUUCAAAAUUCAUGUGUUCAAACUUUGCACCAACCUAAUAGAUUAUUAAGCAGUGGCGCCUUUGGGAGGUGAUUAAGUUCAAAGAGUGGAGUCAUUAUGUACUGAUUUAGAGCUCUUAUAAAAGGGCUUGAGGAAGUGUUCCUUUCUGUUCCGUUCACCAUGUGAGGACAGCAUUUGUCAGCCCAGAGGAUGUAGCAAUAAGGUGUCAUUUUGGAAGCAGAGUAAUCCUCACCAGACACCAAACCUGUCAGUGCCUUAAUCUUGGUCUUCUCAGCCCCCAGAGCUGUGAGAAAUAAAUACCUAUUAUUUAUUAACUACCUAAUCUUUAGGUUUUUUUUAUUUUGUUACUGUGGCACAAAUGGACUAAGACACAACUAGGCUCUGCAUCUUUCUCUGGUAUUUGCUGGAUACAUGCUCCUGAAUAUCCAUUCUUAAUCUUUAAAACGAGGGACAGUGGCUGGGUGUGGUGGCUCACCUCUGUAAUCCUAGCACUUUGUGAGGUCAAGGUAGAUGGAUCAUUUGAGGCUAGGAGUUCAAGACCAGCCUGGCCAACAUGCUGAAACCC
rnacentral:lncRNA from 1 species